AUACCACUUGGGAAACAGGUGCUAAUACCGGAUAAGAAAGCAGAUCGCAUGAUCAGCUUUUAAAAGGCGGCGUAAAGCUGUCGCUAUGGGGAUGGCCCCCGCGGUGCAUUAGCUAGUUGGUAAGGUAAAGGCUUACCAAGGCGAUGAUGCAUAGCCCGAGUUGAGAGACUGAUCGGCCACAUUGGGGACUGAGACACGGGCCCAAAAACUCCUACGGGAGGCAGCAGUAGGGAAUCUUCCACAUGGACGCAAGUCUGAUGGAGCAACGCCGCGUGAGUGAAGAAGGUUUUCGGAUCGUAAAGCUCUGUUGUUGGUGAAGAAGGAUAGAGGUAGUAACUGGCCUUUAUUCGACGGUAAUCAACCAGAAAGUCACGGCUAACUACGUGCCCAGCAGCCGCGGGUAAU
rnacentral:rRNA from 1 species